UUUUUCUUCCUCUCUGCAGGAAUGGACAUACACAUACAACCACCAAGUCCGCCAGCAGCAGCUGUGUUUGUCUGUGUACACACUCUUCCCUGGUUCCCAGGUGCUGCUGUCACCUUGUAAAGAAGGUGACAACAAGCAGCGAUGGGGUAAAGUUGGGUCACACAUUGAACACAUAGCCUCACGCUUCUGUUUGGACACUGAGACGAUUGGGGACACGAAUGAAAGUAUUAAAGAGCUUGUCAUCAACCCUUGUGAGAGCACAGCCAUGAGUCAGCGCUGGGACAUGGUGAUGUCUUGACCUGCUGGAGGAGGUGCACGGCAGGGACGGGCACUGAGACGUUGCUACACGCAGCCAAGAUGCACCAGCUGGAGCUCAAAUGCAAAACCAUUGGGGUUCCUUGUGUGCUGUGGAAAGGAAGAAGAAUCGUUCAGAUAAAAAUGGGACACAGUGCUCCAAAUUGAACAACGCAUUUUGACUCUAAGGCACGCAGCUGGUAUUGGCCUGUUGGCAGUCAUACAUUCAAAGAGAAGAGAUGGCAAAAAACAAGCUUGAAAUGUUUUAGAGGGAUGCUGGGGCUCCUGCUAUGGCCUGUAUAGAACUUCAGUGUGCACAGUAUUGGUUAUCCACCUGAAAACGCAGGUAGAAGAGCCUUGAAGACCAAAAGGAAACUUGAACUGAGCAAAGCAAGCAUCUCAAUAGCUUUUGAGGGUUGAGGUGGGUGCACAAGGUGGGAUGUGCCAAGGGAUGCUAAGAAACAUCUCCAGGGAUCAAGUGGAAAACACUGAAUUAUCUUUGCACCUUUUACUGCUGUGGAUGUUCUUGUCUCUGCAGACAGCAUUGGGUGGAGCCGUGUUGCACGUUUGAAUUUGUACCUAAUCCACGUACAUGUUAUGUAUACAGAGGCAGAGCAGUCAUUUAUGUCUGUGGCCAGGAUCAAAACAGCAGGUAGUGGGGGAAUCCUGCUUUGUGCUAACUGCACAUGGGGCUUGUUGAAUCUCCAAAGCCCAAGCAAACAGAGGAUUCAGUGUGUGAGAUUAAAGGAUAUAAACCGCUGUGAAGCUGGGAGGAAACGCAGUAACAUGAUUAUUUCUUCUCUCUGGAGGCCAUGGGUCACUGAAAACUCCCCUAUAAUCUCUCUAUGUGUCUCUCACUGCUUCAGAUCUGGACUAAAUCAAAUUUUCACUUUUAUUCCAUAAAAGUAAUAUUUUUGGUAAUUGAAGGUAAUUGUGUCAUAUUUCUGUUUCUCAAUUUCCAAACUACAGAAGAGGGGACUGCCAUGAAGUGCUGCUACUAAAGGAAUGGUGAAGGUAAUUAAAAUUAGAGACUGCUCUGAGAAAGGAAAAGGGAUAUUACCUGGUUUUGCUUCCCAGGUAUCUUGUAGUCCAAGAUAUGAAGUACUGAAGAAAAGGUUUGGGAUUCCCCAGUCACACUGUGAGCAGGGAAGUCUGUGUCACGACGUACCUCUCUCUCAAAGAUAUUUAACAUAGGCAGACCUGGCAGAAAUUAUUUCUUCAGCUUUUGGAGAUAAGUCAUCAACCAGAGGUCAUGGCAGGUGCUAUCAGUAUGUGGGAGUGAGGUGUGACUGCCAAAGGACAAUAGGACAGAUGACCUCAGAAAGGGUCUUAGGCAUAGAAGACUGGAAGGUUGUUUCUAGCCUGUCUUUCAGGGCAGCUGCUACUACAGCAGCAGAUAACAGGCACUGGAUCUCCAAGAGCUGUGCAUGCAGCUCUUGUGAAGUAAAAACUCUCAGAGAACUUUUGCAGGACUGUCAAUGCGACUUGAAAAAGAAAAAUAUAGUUUGUGUCUCUAAAAAUGCUAGGAUUUAAUGAAAAUCCUAUCCUUUUUUUCCUGUGCUGCAAACUGGAGGUAAAAUACCAUAAGCUUUAAGCCUUCAAGCACUCUCAGCAUCCCUUCUUGAAUAAAUUGCUGGCUUUCAGGAUUUUACUGCCUCAGUUUCUCCUCCCUCAGUGCUGGGAGAAAGCCAUAUGUGUAAAUCUCCCUGCCUUUGAAGCAGAACCAGUAUAGCUCUUUAUGUACAAAAGGUCGCAGUGCAACAUGCUUUUCAUGUGCUGCAGUGAUUACUAACCUCAUCAAGCUCCCUUGGUGCACGCCUCAAGGGCCUCUGUUAUGAAAGGGCUGGAGCAAGCUGUCAUUUCAUGGUGGGAGGUGGCAUUGUUUCCAUGCCACCACUUUGCAAAGGAGACAAAGGGAAGCACUUAAAAUGGAAUGGACCCAUUUCAAAAAGAAGGGCAGUGACUUUGGGCUUCUUCUAUUUAAUUAAACAGGGAAAUAUCACACUUCUCACAAUAGUGGUGUCAGGCAAGUGGUAGUAAUUCCCAGUCUAGUGCUUACAAGGGAAAGCAGCUCCCAGGAGCUUGAAGCUUAACAGGUUCACACCUGUACUGUGCCUACAGCCUGGGACUGCCCAGCUGCUGGCACUUCGAUUCUGAAAAUCUUGGCGUUAGUUUUGAAGUUCAGCACCUGCCAGGUACACUGAGUAGGACCUCAGACCUAUCUAGCUCUACUGUUUUCCAACAAAGCUGAAAAUACCCCUUCUGCUGACAGCCAAAGCUCUCUAAACAGGUAAUGCUCUUUGCCUUAGCAAAAACAGCUACCUCACGACUUGUGUGUGUGUGCUUGAGCACAGGGACCCAUGGGACCUGCAGGAAUGUAUUCUAGGAAGGAAUUGUUUGACCAGCUUUUCAGCUCUCUUGCCUUUUGCGAAACACCAAUGCUGUACCAAAUCCCUCCUAUUCCAAAACAUGCACUAAGGUGAUCACUGUGAACAUGUUUGGGGGCAAUGGAAGGCAGGCAGUGGGGAGGGCGACAUCAGGAAUGGUGUUCCCUGCUAGAGAGUAGUAACUAAGUUCAGCUGAGCCCAAAAGCCACCUAACAGACAUGGGUAAAGCAGCCACUUGGCAAGCUGGUGAUUGUGUCUCACACAUAUAUCAGCUGUAACCCUUAGGCUACAACUUAUUUCAUGGUCCAAGAAAUGAGAUUAUCCCUGUGGAUCAGCAAUGUUUUCGGAGAAGCCUGAGACUAUCAGCCUAACUCCUGGGAAGGUUUAUAUAAGCUGGCAAUGCUCUGGCAGUCUCCAGAGUCAGCCCCCCUAUGGCAUUUAGCAAAUCUGCUUAAUAUCCCUGCAGAGACCUUGCAUCAUGUCAGGGGAAAGGUUAACUGCUGCUGAAAUCCAAUGCAUACCUUUAGGUUUAUUUCACUUAUUAAAAUAGACUGAAGACAGGUUUUUGCUUUGUAUUUGUUCCUUGUGUAGGCCUUUAUUAUCAUGCUGUGAACAGAUAAAUGUGACGGAUAGGUAUCUAGAUGGGCUCCCAUGCCAAUACUUCUUAAGCCCUAAUGUCAUUUGGUAGUAAUGCUUUUUGGUAACAUUUUGCGCUGCCUUGGAAGAAAAUAAGAUAAAGUAGAAAAUAUGAUUCUAAUCCUGGCUGUUGAGCUUUUUGACAGCCUUUAUGAUCUACAGGUAAGUCAUUUCUUGUGCCUUGGGAAAAUUAGAUUCAGAACAGGAAACUUGGGGCUAGAACUACUACUGGCUUUUAAAGAGCCAACUAAGGCUAUUAAAAAAAAACCACAUCAAAAAGACCCCAAACAAAAACUCAAACAAGCACUAGCCCUUCCCUCAUGAAGGAGAUCCGUGUUCCACUGAGAAAAAAAUCUAUCUGGUUUUAGUUGGGCUGGAGAAGUCUUGCAGUCCUUAUGUUGCUGCUUAUGUGAUUUCCAGGUAUUUUGUGUUCACCUUCUCUCUGUACCAGUGAGUACCAUAAGAUAACAACAAAAAUCAUCAGUGCUUGGAACCUCAGGUUACAACAUGGCAAGGUAGUAAUUUAAUAGUAAAGAGAUGGAAACUGAAUUCAAAGGUUUUGAUUAUUCAGCAAUGCAACAGGAAAAUAGAUAGAUGGAGACUGGUGGUUCAAGACAAGCAGCAGCCCUGAGUGCUAAUCCCUUCUUCUGCUUCUAGGAGUGGUUUGGGAUAGCUUACUUCAUUUCCCUGCCACAGCUUCCCAAACUUUUAGUGAAGACUGAAUGUUUUGAACAGAGAGAAAGCCAAGGAUUAGUUUUUGUUGCAUGCAAUUCCAGCAGUACUGGACUGGCAGUCUCUGGAGCUAUUAGCUCCAUGAACCCAUUUUAUCUGCCUGAAGAGGGUCUGAUUCAGACGGAGUUAAUUUUCUUCAUAACAGCCUGUAAUGUCUUGUGUUUUAGACUGAUGACCAAAACAGUGUUGAUAACACACCACAAUGUUUUAGUUUGACAACACACCUGUUUUAGUUAUUGCUGUGCCUGCGCAGUGUCAAGGCCUUCAUCUCUCACCCUGCUAGGUAGCAAGUAGGCUAGGGUUGGGGAAGAGGGUUUGGAGGCAACACAGCUGGGUCAGCUGACCCAAACUGACCAAAGACACAUAUCAUACCAAAUAAUGUCACACUCAGCAAUAAAACUGGGGGGAGUUUUGCUUUGGGAGGUGUUGCUUAGAGACCUGACAGAGCAUCAGUCUGCAAGUGGUGAGUGACUGCAUCACUUUUUUGUUUUUGUUUUCUUUUAUUUUCCUUCACUUAUUAGACUGUCUUUAUCUUUACCCACAAGUUUUUCUCAUUUUUGCCCUUCUGAUUCUUUCUUCUAUCCCAUUUGGCAGGGAGUGAGGGAGUGUCUGGGUGGGGGCUUAGCUGCCAGACGAGGUCAACCCACCAUACUGCCCUAAGCAAACCGAGGUCUGUAGUGUAUCAGGAUUCAAGGCUCGGGCUCUGAUCACAACUGUGCAAUAGGAUCUGCACUGCUCAAAUUUCUGAUCUUAAAAGCUUUAGUGAAGAGCUAUGGGCUAGGAUUGUUGGUAGAAGUGGUAAAGGAAGGAAAAUCAAGCAUAUUGCACACAAGCAGCAAAAGAAACUGUAGCUCAUUAAUGUGCUGGCUAAAUUAAUUUUGAAUGAUCGGUCCAGCUCCAGUUUUAAUAUGCAGCUGCUUUAGAUGGCCGAAGAGUUUAAGGAAGCCUGGUAUGAGUUUCCAGCUUAUGUUGAAACUUAAGUGGAAUUUUCCCAGAUUUAUGGAUGUUUUCCAAAUGUCCACUGUCCUAUUACUUGCUGGAAGUGCCUUCAGAACCCCAUAAGAAUAAAAACCUGUUGCAAGCUACCACCUCUCCAACUGAGUCUAAUUAAGUUUCAAGUUGAGCUGCAUUUUAGCUUAGAGCUGAUGAAAAACAACAUGUAAAUUUGCAGGUAAGAAUGCUGCUUUUGUGGUGUAAAUGGCUGUUUUGUUUUUUCUGGUAUUACUUGGGCUCUGAAGAAAUCCAAGCUGGUUGAGUGUGAUGUACAAAAGAAAACAUGACUGAGUUUCAAGACUGAGUUUUGCAUAAGCACUCAUCUAGUAAUUAUCUAUCAAUUGUCCAUAUCAAUGAGUAAUGUCUCUCAUUUUCCUAUGAUUUAUAUGAAAGAAGUGUCCUGACAAGAUAUUGCUACUGCACAGGGUUGAAUUCAGUUGUAAAACCAACCAACCAACCAACCAACCAACCAACCAACCAACGAAGGAGGAAAAAAAGGAGAAGGAAUGUUCAUAGCUUGUAUGUAACCUGAUACAUGCAAUAAAAGAAAGAUAUUGCAAAAUUAGAACUGUUCCCAGGCUGAAAGGUUCAGGUUUAUAACAGCAUCAGAGCACAAUCUGCCUAACCCUCAGUUUUCUUACUAAGACCAUGUGCCUCUGCAGUCCUCCUGUGGUCCUUCAGAGAAGCCAUACUUCUGUCAAGUAUUAAACAUGCACUACAUGGUC